rnacentral:rRNA from 1 species
UGGGGAAUCUUGCGCAAUGGCCGAAAGGCUGACGCAGCGACGCCGCGUGUGGGAGGAAGCCUUUCGGGGUGUAAACCACUGUUGCCCGGGACGAACAGCCCCUUAGUGGGGCCUGACGGUACCGGGUGAGGAAGCACCGGCUAACUCCGUGCCAGCAGCCGCGGUAAUACGGGGGGUGCGAGCGUUGUCCGGAAUCACUGGGCGUAAAGGGCGCGUAGGUGGCUUGGCAAGCGCGUGGUGAAAGCCCGGGGCUCAACCCCGGGUCUGCCAUGUGAACUGCUAUGGCUCGAGCACUGUAGAGGCAGGUAGAAUUCCGGGUGUAGCGGUGGAAUGCGUAGAGAUCCGGAAGAAUACCGGUGGCGAAGGCGGCCUGCUGGGCAGUUGCUGACACUGAGGCGCGACAGCGUGGGGAGCAAACAGG